GCCCCUUCUUUGCAUCGUCAGCACAUGCUUCAGUGCUCUGAGAGUGUUUAUAGUGCUGUGAGUUUAACACUUCAUGACUGAGAGCAGAACACAACACAAUCUUCAUCAUCACACAAGACAAAACAACUACAAUGAACAACAUCAUCAUCCUCAUCUGGACUCUGUGCGUGUAUAUACAGGGUUUCAGUGGACAGGUGACUGUGACUCAGACUCCCUCUGUUAAAACAGUUCAGAUUGGUGAAUCAGUCACUAUAAACUGCAAAACAAACACGGUAGUGAGCAAUGCUUGUCCAGGUUCAUAUACUUGUAUGUCCUGGUAUCAGCAGAAACCUGGAGAAGCUCCUAAACUCCUCAUAUAUUAUGCAACACAGCGUAACACUGGAACUUCAUCUAGAUUCAGUGGCAGCGGAUCCAGAACUGAUUUCUCUCUGACCAUCAGUGGAGUCCAGACUGAAGAUACAGGAGAUUAUUACUGUCAGAGUUUCCACGUGAUCAACAGUAAAUAUGUGUUCACACAGUGAUAAAGAGUCGUACAAAAACCUCCGUCAGUCAGAGUCACAGUGACUGCACUGAUACAGCUGAGAGAUACUGCAGCUGCUCUACAAUACAAUCACACACACAACACUAAUCAACACUAAUAACACAAUAUCAUUAUAACAGAAAUAUUAUAUUCCUGAAGAAAACAAGUCAGUGUUUUAAUAUGAUCAUCAUGUUUUAGGUGUAAAAUAUGAUGCCUGUCAAUCAAACUGAACAGACUGCAUUCAGUCACUUCUGCUGUCUUUUAAGAAAUAUACUUAAGACAAACAUACUUUAAGUGAAGUUUUAGUGUAUUUACACAAAACACUUAUUCUACUCUUACUUAAAGUAUAUUUUAUGUUUACUUUGUGUAAGAAAAUAGCUAAAUUAAUCAGCUUUUAGUGGGUUUAAAGUAUUAGUUCUUUAUAACCAUGUGUAGGCCUGCUGCAAUUUAUUUUAAAUAUGUACGUAAUGAACGUGCUUCAGUUUGCUUUUCAAAAGUAGGAUUUUUUUUUUUAAAAGCAUUUUUAACAUUUUAAUAUAUUUUAUGAAGCACAUUAAUUCACUGCUAUGUAAGUAUACUAUAGCUAUAUGUGCUAUAUGCUAUAAGUGCAUUCUUGUAUAAACUUACAAUGUUUAUUAAUAUUAUUUAGUUAUUUAUCCUUUUUGUGUGUGUGUUAUUAGCCUCUAUAAUCUCUAUAUAUUAAUAUUAUGUCCUGUGUGUCUGUGAAGCACAGGACAAGAAGUCCCUGUAUGUCUUGUGUAUUGCACUGUGAAGUUAAGUGUAUUUGUGGUGUAUGUUAUUGUUGGGCCGAAGAUGAAUUUCCACACGUGUGGACAAUAAAGAUGUUCAAUGUUCAUGUAUUAUAUAAAAAAACUAAAUGUCAACUAUGAUUAAGCAUUAUAAUAAGCGUACUUAAUUUUAAUAUUGUAGUAAAAUAAAAUAAAUAUAAAUUAUAUAAACAUAUAGAAUUAUAAUACAUAUAUUCAAACAAAGAUGCAUAAUCAUUGGUUAAUUUUAUAAAUUAUUUUCCUUUCACAGGCCGUGCAUGUGAUAAAGCAGUCUUUAAUCUUUAAUACAGUGUCUG